UAAAUAUGAAGCUACAACCAGCAGUUGGUUAGUUUAGCUUAGCAGGGAAACAGCUCGUCUGACUCUGCCCAAAGAGCUUUCGGAUGCUGUGCCCGCCUUUGAUGCACAACAGCAAGUUCACCCUCUUUAUGACUGAAAGAGCGACAGAUGUGCAAAUGUUUCCCUCUCUCAUCCGUCUACAGCACAUCAGACUGGAAUGAGGAGUGCCAGUGUAGAUGCCGGUCAGUGAAACUCAGUAAGACACAUUCACAGCCUUUUAUCCUGUGUUGUUGAAACAAUAAUAUCAGUAGAGACCAUCAACCCCCCCUUGCCUGAACAUCUGAGAGAAUAUGUGUACUUCAUCUACAUGACUUGCCACAUUUCAGCAUAUGAGAUAGAAAGUUGCAUCACUUAGCUUCUUCAAAACAGCUCAAAGGCUUCUUCAUCACUUGACUGGCAAGAAGACGGUGCCACGGAGUACAGCAGUGACACAAGGCUGGAAUAUGGGAUUUUUUAGAAGUGAUGGAAUGUGUUCUUGAUGAUCAAUGCUACGGGUGGAGGGAGGAGAGAGCCUAAAUCUAUCAUUUACCAUGCCCACAUUUUCCCAUCCAGUUGGAGGGUUUGAAGAGGCAACCUUUAGUCUCAGUGCAGCCUCUUUCACCUUUAGGCAGCCGUCAGUCAUCUACAGCAUGUUUUCUAUUCAUGGUAUCGCAAUCCAACAUGAUACAUUCAAGAUGCUCCCAAUGGAGAUCCUUUCUAGGAUGCACACUCCUUCCUAGAUCAAAAAGACUACAGCAACCAUUUGGCCCUACAGCGAGCACAGAAAAACACUUUUAUUUCAACUUCUCCCUCAUGAUGAACAAAGGACAAAAAACAAUCGGGGCAUAAUUCCAAAUCCAAAAAUGUUUUCACAGAGCAAUUAUGCUUUUUAUAUCUGUAAUUUUUAUAUUAAUUAUUUGAACUUCUAUUUGAACAGUCCACAAUUUUCUGUGCACUUUUAUUCUUUUUAGAAUCAUAAUAAAUAAUGUGUCUCUAACCUUCAAAUGAAGGAUGACAACACUUCUGACUAAACACUGGAUGUUUUUUGCUUUAUUCCUUAAAAAACCUUUCAUACCAGCGUAUUCUGAUUCACAGGAGAAUAAAUGGGGCAGAAGGGUUGACAGAAUAUAGACUGCUACUUUUUAAUUACUGACUCUUCAGUUCCCGACAGCUCUACAGAGCGUUUUGGUGUCUUUCAGGUCAUUAUUUUGGUUUUUAUGGCCCCCAACUUUACUGUUUUGGUUCACUCUCAUCACUCACAUUGGUGUUACCUUAAGGCAGCUGUUUUCAGCAAAAAGGCUCUGAUAAACUACCUUCCCAGCACCAAAUGGUAGACAGACAUAGUUAGCGACUAGCUGCUGACCAUAGUGAAGCAUUUAGCAGCUAAAGAGUUUGCCUGAUGGACACAAACGUUACUCCAAAUGAAUGCUCAUGUUGGUCUGUAGCUGUUGGAUUAGUAAGUAGGAAACUCUGUCUUAUAUGUUCAUUACAUCAACUUUGUAAGAUGACAAUAUGUCAAUGUUGUAUUUAAAGUGGCCAAAACUCAAUUAAUACAGAUUAAUAGGUCUUUUUCACAGCAGACAUUUUGAUUACAUUACUAAUAACAAUAACAAUGGUCCUGUUCUAUUCAGGUGUCCCAGUAAGUCAUCACAGUGUGACAGUGAAUCAGCAUGCACAAUAACACGACCCUGAAACCGAAGCAACUAAAUGGAAAUCAGCCACCAUUAAUUUUAUCAUUUACAUCUGUGCUUUUCCUACUGUGACAUAUCAAAAUGUUUUCUGUGAAAUUCAAUUCAAUUCAUUUAAAAUGUUUUUUGUCAGUUCGUGUUGGAGGGUUGUAAAGUUCUUACAGAAAAAUUCCACCUUGGCCCCUGAUGCCCCCUGAAUUUAAACUUUGAGGAGGUUGUCUUUGAUAAAAAAAAAAAAAUAUGUUUUUAGAAACUUCAGAAAGCAUUGAAAUUCGAAAUACUGUUUUGUCUGUUUUGUGGCAACUCCGAUUAUAUGCAGUAUAAUAGCGCCAUACUGUAAUUCCUUCAACUAAUUUCAGCCACUGUAUAACACAUCUUAAAUUCCCCCUGGCAUAUAAUAAUAGGUCUUGUAUCAUAAAAACUCAAUUAAUCAUUUUCUGAUUGAUGGAAAAUAUCUUCAGUCUAAUAAAUCUCUGCAUAAACAAAGCUGCAGCUACACAUAUGACCUUUAAGGAACUCAAAAACCCAAAACAGAAAAAAUAUGUUCUUAUUGUUUAAGGAUAUGAAUGAACUUGGUCAAAUCCUGAUUGACCACAGCAGGAAGAAAGACAAUAAUCCCACAUUUAUCUAUUUUAUAGAACAAGGUCAUUGUACUUAGUACUAAUUAUUUUUAAGCAUUUACUAUCUUACACAUACUGUAUAUCUACAGCACCCUCACAUUGUUUCUACCUUCCUCUACUGUAUAUUACAACCCUUUUAUAAUGUCUUUCUAAUGAAACAUCAUACCUCAGUAAGACCUACUUUAAAGGUGCUCAAAGCAUAAACCUACUGUACCUACUGCUGAUUCUAAAUUAGUUUAUUUAUGAUCAGUCUCUCCUUGUUAUCUACCCACACUAGAAGAAUCUUAAACAGGCAUGUUUGAUAAAAGAUGUGAAACUCUGGAAAACUACGUAGCCGCAUAGAUUUAUUCAUCCUGUCUUCAAAAGAAAACUGAAAAUUCAGCUGGCAAAAACGACCUAUAGCUACGUUUGAGUGAUGGAUGCCAUCUAGUGGCCGUAGUAAUUAUGACCUGGAGAAGUGACGCAGUUCAGAUGACGUCAAUGUAAGAUGACAAAUUUACAUAAUCAGAGGUGACGGGUUGGAUGGACGGCUAGAUAGAUAGAUGCGCGACUUAGCUUCAGGAGACCACUGUUCACUUCCCGUCUCCAACCACGAGUCUGGACAAUCAAUUAUGAUUGUCAUAGUGUUUACUGUUGCCAUGGUGAUGAAGGUUGCCUAACUUUAAGGAUGUAGUAACUUUAACCCACACUACAUUUCAAGUGAUUGUUUUUAAACCAAACCAUGAUCUUGCCUCUAGUGUUCUCCCUUGUGUUUUCCAUGUUUCCCCUUUUUCUUGUGUUGUCCCCUGUUUGUCUCCCCGUGUGAGUGUGUGUGUGAGUGGCAGGCAUGGCUCCUCCUUCCUCUGGCUUAUCCCUGAUGUGCAGCAUCUGCUCUAAUCAGCACACCUGCCAUCCAUCAUCUCAUCAGCCAUUACCUCUGCCUGUCCGCCGAUCAGCCUGCUGCCCACACCACUCGCCAUGCUAACUCCCUCUGACUGAACUCAGUAUACUCCUGUUGGACCGACGCCAUUCCCCUACCUGCUCACCUGCCUCAUCCCCUGUAUUACAAUA